UACGAAGGGGGCUAGCGUUGCUCGGAAUUACUGGGCGUAAAGGGCGCGUAGGCGGCACUGUUGAGUCAGGCGUGAAAUUCCUGGGCUCGAACCUGGGGACUGGCGCUUGAUACGGCAGAGCUUGAGGAUGGAAGAGGGUCGCGGAAUUCCCAGUGUAGAGGUGAAAUUCGUAGAUACUUGGGAAGAACACCGGUGGCGAAGGCGGCGACCUGGUCCAUUACGUGACGCUGAGGCGCGACAGCGGUGGGGAGCAAACAGG
rnacentral:rRNA from 1 species